AAGAAAGUGGCAGAGUGGUUAUGUGGAUGGCUUGAAACCAUACUAUGGGGGUUCGAUUCCCUCCUUUCUCG
rnacentral:tRNA from 1 species